GGCGAGGUUACGUACGCCGAGCUGUCGUUCCCCAAGGCCGUGGCCGUCCUGCCCGUGCAACAGGGAAGCACGCUACGCCGUGCGGCCGCCGCCGCUUCCUCGGGGGCGCACAAUGGCGGCACCAUACCGCAGCUGCCGGAGCCACCGACGGAGUACGCACGCAUCGACUUCCACCGAACGCUGCGACCCGUGCCGGGAAACCUGGGUCUCACGGGCGAGGAACUCGAGGACGAAGGCGGCAGUAGCUGCGAGACGCCGCUGAUGGCCAACCGCAGGGAGAGCACAGUCUAGCGGCACAUGGCUGCACAACCCAGGGACUCGACAUUCUACUGAAGGCCCACUAUGGGAACGUGCGGCGCUCCUUCAUCGGGAUAAGAUGCGAUGCUCAACUAGACCAGUGUCACCACAAGUGCGACGCGUAUGACGCCGCGACGAACGACGAAGGAGUCCUCGCAAAGUUGGCUGCCCGGCAAACUCCACCGGAAUCUCAAGGCCUGCGCCAUCUGAUGACCGCUCUGAACAAGAGACGUGCGAGAGGAAGAGGUGCUCUCAAAUAUGUGCGGGAUGCCACUUUUUUUUUCUUAUCGCCCAUGGUGGACUAGAAUAGUUUCUAGGCGAACAUCGUGCGGAGGCAUGUGAAUAUGCUCGAGUGGUUCAACAUCGGAUGAAUGGGGCCAAGUGCUCUCUGUUCACAUCCAAGCUGCACAGAACUGCCGGCUGAAAAUUCAAAAAUGUGAAGACAUCUUCAAAUUCAUUGCUCCCUUUUCGAUGCACUGCAUGAAAACACGUGGACUAAUUCACUGUGUUGAAAGCACGUAGAAAGCCAUUGAUGAAAGAAACAGCAAAUGUCCAAUUCUAAAAGACCGCAGUAUAAUUAUUCCUAGAAUGCGAAGGUGUCAUUGGGGCAGCUGGUAUGAAUUUCGUACACCUUCUAAUUUUUCUUAUGCACUCGGUCUCCACUAUUAUUAUCACCCCUGGUGCAUUCAGGCGUUUUCCCAAACUAUUAUACAAACAACACAACCGCAGUUUUCUGCACCUUGGAUGUGCUCAAGUACUUGUGCCUUGCUUACAGUGCGAUUGUGUGACCCUUUCUCACGACUGCCCUGCAGGUCGUUUUGUGUGCAUGGUGACACAGCUAGUCAAUUAUCUUUCAUUGUACAUAAAUAUAUACUUCGCGAUGUUUUAUGUAAAAGAAAAUGUUUAAUAACGAAUAUUCUCUGUGUAUAUUUAUACAAUCACAUCGUUGGUCAUUACAUACUCAUCAAAAUGUUUUUUUUCUGUCCUUGCAAUUGUCUCUCAUUCUUUGUCGUAAUGCUGAUAGUUUGCAUUCCCCGAUUUCCAUGUUUUUGUUCUGUCCUCAAGUAAGCGAGCUGUAAUUUAACUGUACACAUAUUUCAACAUUUGUAUACUACUGCACUAUGUUCUGUAGUUUUUCGCUGCUUAGCUGACAAAAAUUAGUCAUGUGGUACAGCCAUUCUGGCUGAUGAGUGCAGUCCACAAUGUAGCGUUCAUACAAACAACAAAGCGAAAACUUUUGUUAAUCUUGUUCAGCAAGAGCGAAGUGUUAGCACAAUGCAAUAAGGUGUUCUGCUUCGUAUUUGAGCUUUUUAUUCAUUAUCAAUUCCUAGCUGUUUUGUGCCAACUCUUGUCAUUUUACUACCAUUUUACAGCAUCUACGUUUAAAAGUAAGUUGAAUAAGCUUGUGCAUUGCAAAUAAUAUUUACGAACCAUUUUCACGAAUGAAAUUCUAAGCCUUCUUUGAUUAUAACAGUAAACUGCUUGAAUAUAAUGAAAAUUAGUGCUUCAUAUAUUUCGUCUCUAUUUUGCUUAUGCAAAACAUGUGUUUUAUCUAAUGAAACUAGUAAUCAAACAGACAACCACGUGACCAGGUUACAAAGCUUAUGUGAUUUUUACAUGCAUCUUAUACAUAAAAGACAAACAAUAUGCACAGAAAACCACAGAUUUCGUCUGGCUUAUGUUCUACAGCACAAACAAUUUUUUUAUGAUAAAGGCGUACCAUGUUUUAAACCUCGGGGGAAGAUCCCAGUAUUUUAAUAUUUCAGCUGUAGACAUGAAGAAACAAUAUCAGAUCUGUCAGGCAAGAAGCAGUAUCAAUGGCACAUGACAAUUCACUUGACAGCUAAAAGUAAGCUCCGGAUAACUGUGUUACAGUAAUCACACAGCUCGUCGGCUAUACGAAUAAUUUCUGUAAUUUCAGUUAGCAGUGCAUGGCUGAGCAUUCCUGCGCUGAAGUUUUAAUGCAGUCAUACGGCUGUGCGAAUCUCACUAGGCGGCGAGUUAAUAAAUGACGUUGCAACAUAUCAUGCUUCUGAAAAUUUGGUAAUGUCAACAAUGCUAUUGUUGCUUUUUCGUUAACUGUUUAUUCUGCUUCGCGCAACAGUAAUUGUUUGCAGUGGUUGUGCUCUCACUACUGUAUUACGAAAUUAUCCUGUUUCACUUUUGGCGCUUUUUUUUUAUUUUGCAGCUAUGUCCGGAUGAUUUAUUUACAACCACCUCUGAAAUGUGCGUAGGAUUAUAUAUUUGUUUUGACAUGCUGUGGAGUAUGCUUCCAAUUUCUUCUCAGGCGUGCAUCACCUUCUGUUGCAGCCACGCUCUCUUUUGGCAACACUGCCACCACACCAUAUUCGCGAAUGUAUCUUCUACCUAAUAUUAAUUUUCUUGAAGUUCCCAAUGGUCGCUAGACUUCCCACAAUGGUCUAAUCUCAGUCUGAAAGUAAAGACGGUCUUUGUUUCCGUCAAAUCGCAAUCAAACGAAACUGUACCAAAAAGCAAAUCACAUUGUAAAUAGCGUCAUCGUCCUGACCAUGGUAUUACAGGAAAGAGCUAGAAUCGUGCCCAUUUAGUUAUCCAUUACUAGUCAUCCACUAAUUUCCAUCUUCCUUUUGUAGUGUGAACUGAAACAUUACAUUUUCACCCUGUCAGUGUUUCAAGUACGCAGAGGCUGUGAAAUGGCGUGGAAAAGCCAUCGCUCACACUAUUUAACGAGCGUUUCUGUGAGUAUACGAAUUGCGCGCUUGUUUAACAAAGUUUCUCUCUUUCACUUAUUUGCUAUGUGCUUCAACUGUCUUUUUUGUCUCAUGUGAUACAACUCACAAGUGCCUAUUUACAGCGAGAUGAUGGCAGCAGAAAAAGCUGCGCAAUUCCUCUUGAAACAUUCAGACUUCAAAGGUGAAUACCUGGUGGUACCGCGGGUGAAGAUGCCUACAUCGUGUAAUCUUCACUGUUCAUUGUGCAUACUGUAAGAUAUCGAUGAAACAGUAGGUCUGCUUUUUUUUAUGAACUGUUUCUCUGAGUGUUACAUAUAGACUGUGUGCAUCAAAACGCGAAGUUAUGAAUCUCCUGCAAAUAAACUAUAGUUUUUUUAUGUGUUCA